rnacentral:rRNA from 1 species
AUUGAACGCUGGCGGCAUGCUUUACACAUGCAAGUCGAACGGCAGCGCGGGCUUCGGCCUGGCGGCGAGUGGCGAACGGGUGAGUAAUGCAUCGGAACGUGCCCAGUAGUGGGGGAUAGCCCGGCGAAAGCCGGAUUAAUACCGCAUACGACCUGAGGGUGAAAGCGGGGGACCGAAAGGCCUCGCGCUAUUGGAGCGGCCGAUGUCGGAUUAGCUAGUUGGUGGGGUAAAGGCUUACCAAGGCGACGAUCCGUAGCUGGUCUGAGAGGACGACCAGCCACACUGGGACUGAGACACGGCCCAGACUCCUACGGGAGGCGGCAGUGGGGAAUUUCGGACAAUGGGGGCAACCCUGAUCCAGCCAUGCCGCGUGCGAGAAGAAGGCCUUCGGGUUGUAAACCGCUUUUGUUCGGGAAGAAAUCCUCUGGGCUAAUACCCCGGGGGGAUGACGGUACCGGAAGAAUAAGCACCGGCUAACUACGUG